CCUCCUUUUUUCCGCCGUCGGGCCUCUUGCUCCCUGGGGGCCCCCCUGCCGCAGCAACGCCGCGUGGAGGAUGAAGGUUUUCGGAUUGUAAACUCCUUUUGUUAGAGAAGAUAAUGACGGUAUCUAACGAAUAAGCACCGGCUAACUCCGUGCCAGCAGCCGCGGUAAUACGGAGGGUGCAAGCGUUACUCGGAAUCACUGGGCGUAAAGAGCGCGUAGGCGGGAUAGCAAGUCAGAUGUGAAAUCCUAUGGCUUAACCAUGGAACUGCAUUUGAAACUGUUAUUCUAGAGUAUGGGAGAGGUAGGUGGAAUUCUUGGUGUAGGGGUAAAAUCCGUAGAGAUCAAGAGGAAUACUCAUUGCGAAGGCGACCUGCUAGAACAUAACUGACGCUGAUGCGCGAAAGCGUGGGGAGCAAACAGGAUUAGAUACCCCAGUAGUC
rnacentral:rRNA from 1 species